AACGAACGCUGGCGGCAUGCCUAACACAUGCAAGUCGAACGAGACCUCCGGGUCUAGUGGCGCACGGGUGCGUAACGAGUGGGAACCUGCACUUAGGUUCGGAAUAACUCCCCGAAAGGGGUGCUAAUACCGGAUAAUGUCUUAGGACCAAAGAUUUAUCGCUUUUGGAUGGGCCCGCGUUGGAUUAGCUAGUUGGUAGGGUAAAAGCCUACCAAGGCGACGAUGCAUAGCUGGUCUGAGAGGAUGAUCAGCCACGCUGGGACUGAGACACGGCCCAGACUGCUACGGGAGGCAGCAGUGGGGAAUAUUGGACAAUGGGGGAAAGCCUGAUCCAGCAAUGCCGCGUGAGUGAUGAAGGCCUUAGUGUUGUAAAGCUCUUUUACCCGGGAUGAUAAUGACAGUACCGGGAGAAUAAGCACCAGCUAACUCCGUG
rnacentral:rRNA from 1 species